CGGGUGAGUAAUGUAUCGGAACGUGCCCAGUCGUGGGGGAUAACUGCUCGAAAGAGCAGCUAAUACCGCAUACGACCUGAGGGUGAAAGCGGGGGAUCGCAAGACCUCGCGCGAUUGGAGCGGCCGAUAUCAGAUUAGGUAGUUGGUGAGGUAAAGGCUCACCAAGCCGACGAUCUGUAGCUGGUCUGGGAGGACGACCAGCCACACUGGGACUGAGACACGGCCCAA
rnacentral:rRNA from 1 species